rnacentral:lncRNA from 1 species
UCUAUGUAAUUUCAUAAAUUAUGCCUAUUCUGUAUUAUUAUUAUUAUUAUUAUCAUCAUCUGUGUUUCAACUAGUUUUAUAGCUUUCCUUCCCUUACCCACACCCCCUGCUCCGAACCCCAUAUAGACGUGGUAAGAAUGAAUAAUCUAAGUGGAAGCUCUAUUUUUUUCCUCUUUGGAGACCAGAUAAGAGCCAAGUGAAGAGUGAAGUUCAACCAAUCUAGGGUCUAGCAUAAGUCUGGUCUUUCUGCUUGAGAGAACACAUAGCUGUGUAUCUUUAUUUGGUACUUUUAAGGAAAAGAAUUCAUUUAUGAAUACAGGAAGAAAAUUAAAUGAAUAAAAUGUUCAUAAAUUUAGAAUUAUGAUUAAAUUUAAAAUAUGCUUUGAAUCAUUCAAACCCUUACCAAUAAAUUGGUAUUUCAAGUUAAAGUUUAUCCCUGGGUCAUUUCUCCCUAGGUAGUUACGUUGUUCAGUGACUUAGAGAGCCAUGCUCUUUCCUAGUGCCAUCUUAAAUCCUUUGGGGCAUAAUUUACUGUUUUUUUUUUCCAUGUGUGCCAUUCUGUUCCCUUUUGUGGCUGCUUCUGAACCUGGCCAUCAUUUAUUUGGGCACCUUUUGUACGUAUUGUAGAAAAAUCUCACAGAGUCUCUCUUUGAGUAUCUUACAACCCAGAGUUUGCUCUUACUACCAGGGUUGUGGCUUAGUAAGAGCUUAAUGAUUUCACAGUUUUCUCCUUUUAAGCUGUGCUACUGGUAUUUCCCUUGCUUCCCCCUUAGCUGCCACACAGCUCACUCACCUGCUUUUGACUGACAUGCCCUUGCACUAAUUAUUUCUUUUUUUUAUUACUGGCUUGUUUCUGAGUCUGUUCCUGGUGGGCAGUCAUUUCCAUCUCUCUCUCAUUUGG